CCUACGGGUGGCAGCAGUGAGGAAUAUUGGUCAAUGGCCGUAAGGCUGAACCAGCCAAGUCGCGUGAAGGAAGAAGGAUCUAUGGUUUGUAAACUUCUUUUAUAGGGGAAUAAAGGUAUCCACGUGUGGAUAUUUGCAUGUACCCUAUGAAUAAGCAUCGGCUAACUCCGUGCCAGCAACCGCGGUAAUACGGAGGAUGCGAGCGUUAUCCGGAUUUAUUGGGUUUAAAGGGUGCGUAGGUUGUUUUUUAAGUCAGCGGUGAAAGUUUGUGGCUCAACCAUAACAUUGCCGUUGAAACUGGAAGACUUGAGUGUGUUUGAGGUAGGCGGAAUGCGUGGUGUAGCGGUGAAAUGCAUAGAUAUCACGCAGAACUCCGAUUGCGAAGGCAGCUUACUAGGCCAUAACUGACACUGAAGCACGAAAGCGUGGGGAGCAAACAGGAUUAGAUACCCCGGUAGUC
rnacentral:rRNA from 1 species